rnacentral:rRNA from 1 species
UACAGAGGGUGCAAGCGUUAAUCGGAAUUACUGGGCGUAAAGCGCGCGUAGGUGGUUUGGUAAGUCGGAUGUGAAAUCCCCGGGCUCAACCUGGGAACUGCAUUCGAAACUGCCUGGCUAGAGUUUGAGAGAGGGAAGUGGAAUUCCACAUGUAGCGGUGAAAUGCGUAGAUAUGUGGAGGAACAUCAGUGGCGAAGGCAGCCCCCUGGGAUAACACUGACGCUCAUGUACGAAAGCGUGGGUAGCAAACAGG